UUGAAUAAAUGAUCAUUCGAAGCAAAAGCAUGCAGUUCAAAAGCUAAACCUCCCAUUGGAGAACAGAAAAUUUAAUGAGCUUUUAAUGGAAUGCAAUGCUCAGAGUAGUAAAUUAUUUGUUAGUUGACGAUGCAAUCAGCAUGCUGAUUAAGGUUGCUUGGUUUUUUACUAAACAUUAACUGAAUGAAAACGGGUAGUCCUUGUUCUGCUUGGGGGGCUUUAAGGAAGCAAAUGGACUUUCAGAACAGAGAUUGUCAAUAAAGGAAUGGGUUGACACAUGCCUUCUGGGAUAUGGUUUGAAGAUUCUGUCACCAGAUAUUUUACAUUUGAUUCCACUGGAAAAAUACCAUGUGAUAAGUAACUUGCAUGAGAAGAUUAGUAUGCACCCGACACAAGAGUUUGCUGAAUGAAGAGUUAGAAGAAAGGAACUCUACCAAAAUGAAGGUCCCUUCUCUGGAGUAACUUUAACAACAAGUUGAGCAAGACUCCUACCAAAGUUUACCACUUAUUUAUCUAGAGUAGCUGUAUUUUAAUAGGUAGAUGUUGGCUGACUAAAAUUACUAUUACCUGCUACUUUUCUUGAGGUCAGACUACUGCUCAUGUAAAAGAGACAGGUUAAAAAUGUGGAAUUAUCACAUUUUGUUCAAAUUUAAAAUGAAUAAGCACAAUUUCCCUGGUUUUGACAAACAUUUGAAAAAUGUAGUCUUUGGUUUUUAGCUUGAGCCUGUAGGAUGGAGCUGCUGUAAAAAAGGAAAGACCUUAAGUGAGUAGUAUUUUGGAUACAUUUUUUUCAGCUAGCUCUCUACCUUGGGGAUAUUCUAUGGUCUGUUGAAACAUGUUCUUCCUGUGAAGCUCAAUGUAGAUCACUGGUUUUACAUGAAGGCCUAUAUUAGUCACUUACAGACAUUUUUACACAUAACUGUUGGGUAACAGUGUGUGCUUAUUUUAUGAUAAAUGUUUCAAAGCUACUGUUCUCUGGAGUUCUCACAUAAAAGAAAAUAUUUAUCUCAUUGGAAUUUUAACCACACAACAAUUAAAAUGAAAUGCAGUCGACAAAAUAUUAAUGCAGGUAUGUCUGAAGAUCAACUACUUAAUGGUUAGGUCCCUAUCUAUCAUUCUCUGGCUUUCUGAAGGUCAAUAUAUAGCAAAGCCAAUGAAUUAACCUGCAAGUCAGAAACAUAGUAUCUGUGUAACUGUGGGUCUAUUAUUAAUUGCUUAAUAAAGUGUGUGACUUAUUGA